UACGUAGGGGGCAAGCGUUGUCCGGAUUUAUUGGGCGUAAAGAGCUCGUAGGCGGCUCAGUAAGUCGGGUGUGAAAACUCCAGGCUCAACCUGGAGACGCCACCUGAUACUGCUGUGGCUAGAGUCCGGUAGGGGAGCAUGGAAUUCCUGGUGUAGCGGUGAAAUGCGCAGAUAUCAGGAGGAACACCAGUGGCGAAGGGCGGGUGCUCUGGGCCGGAACUGACGCUGAGGAGCGAAAGCGUGGGAGCA
rnacentral:rRNA from 1 species